CCUACGGGUGGCAGCAGUGGGGAAUAUUGGGCAAUGGGCGCAAGCCUGACCCAGCAACGCCGCGUGAAGGAAGAAGGCUUUCGGGUUGUAAACUUCUUUUCUCAGGGACGAAGAAAGUGACGGUACCUGAGGAAUAAGCCACGGCUAACUACGUGCCAGCAGCCGCGGUAAUACGUAGGUGGCAAGCGUUAUCCGGAUUUAUUGGGUGUAAAGGGCGUGUAGGCGGGAGCGCAAGUCAGAUGUUAAAACUCAGGGCUCAACCCUGAGCCUGCAUUUGAAACUGUGUUUCUUGAGUGCUGGAGAGGCAAUCGGAAUUCCGUGUGUAGCGGUGAAAUGCGUAGAUAUACGGAGGAACACCAGUGGCGAAGGCGGUCUGCUGGACAGCAACUGACGGUGAGGCGCGAAAGCGUGGGGAGCAAACAGGAUUAGAUACCCUUGUAGUC
rnacentral:rRNA from 1 species